rnacentral:rRNA from 1 species
CUGGUGCUUGCACCGGGGAUUAGUGGCGAACGGGUGAGUAACACGUGAGUAACCUGCCCUUGACUCUGGGAUAAGCCUGGGAAACUGGGUCUAAUACCGGAUAUGACCUUCCAUCGCAUGGUGGUUGGUGGAAAGCUUUUGUGGUUUUGGAUGGACUCGCGGCCUAUCAGCUUGUUGGUGGGGUAAUGGCCUACCAAGGCGACGACGGGUAGCCGGCCUGAGAGGGUGACCGGCCACACUGGGACUGAGACACGGCCCAGACUCCUACGGGAGGCAGCAGUGGGGAAUAUUGCACAAUGGGCGCAAGCCUGAUGCAGCGACGCCGCGUGAGGGAUGACGGCCUUCGGGUUGUAAACCUCUUUCAGUAGGGAAGAAGCCGUGAGGUGACGGUACCUGCAGAAGAAGCGCCGGCUAACUACGUGCCAGCAGCCGCGGUAAUACGUAGGGCGCAAGCGUUAUCCGGAAUUAUUGGGCGUAAAGAGCUCGUAGGCGGUUUGUCGCGUCUGCCGUGAAAGUCCGGGGCUCAACUCCGGAUCUGCGGUGGGUACGGGCAGACUAGAGUGAUGUAGGGGAGACUGGAAUUCCUGGUGUAGCGGUGAAAUGCGCAGAUAUCAGGAGGAACACCGAUGGCGAAGGCAGGUCUCUGGGCAUUAACUGACGCUGAGGAGCGAAAGCAUGGGGAGCGAACAGGAUUAGAUACCCUGGUAGUCCAUGCCGUAAACGUUGGGCACUAGGUGU